rnacentral:rRNA from 1 species
AUUGAACGCUGGCGGCAGGCCUAACACAUGCGAGUCGAACGGUAACAGGAAGCAGCUUGCUGCUUCGCUGACGAGUGGCGGACGGGUGAGUAAUGUCUGGGAAGCUGCCUGAUGGAGGGGGAUAACUACUGGAAACGGUAGCUAAUACCGCAUAAUGUCGCAAGACCAAAGAGGGGGACCUUCGGGCCUCUUGCCAUCGGAUGUGCCCAGAUGGGAUUAGCUUGUUGGUGGGGUAACGGCUCACCAAGGCGACGAUCCCUAGCUGGUCUGAGAGGAUGACCAGCCACACUGGGACUGAGACACGGUCCAGACUCCUACGGGAGGCAGCAGUGGGGAAUAUUGCACAAUGGGCGCAAGCCUGAUGCAGCCAUGCCGCGUGUAUGAAGAAGGCCUUCGGGUUGUAAAGUACUUUCAGCGGGGAGGAAGGGAGUAAAGUUAAUACCCUUGCUCAUUGACGUUACCCGCAGAAGAAGCACCGGCUAACUCCGUG